CAAUAUUAUAGUUUACCGAGCUAACCAAUCAUGCACACCAGGUCAGCGAGAGGUAGCGGUAAGUGGUGGCAAAAUCCAAAUCCCAAACUCGCUAAAACAACAAGAGAUUGGACUAGCCAUACUUCAAGCCUUGUUGCAUUUUAGGCAGAUAUAGAAGAAUGGUUUGAAGAAAAAGGAGAAAUGGAUGAAAGAAGAAUGGUUUGAAGAAAAAGGAAGGGAGACAGUGAAAAAAUACCCAUGGGCUGAUAAAAAGUUAAAGCCUGGUGAACUGGUUCCACCUAGAUACAUAAGCAGCUAUCAGAAAGGACAGGAAAAGGCAGAGAUUGAAUUUCCUGGCUUUCUUCACAGGAA